ACGAACGCUGGCGGCGUGCUUCACACAUGCAAGUCGAACGGAAAGGCCCUGCUUUUGUGGGGUGCUCGAGUGGCGAACGGGUGAGUAACACGUGAGUAACCUGCCCUUGACUUUGGGAUAACUUCAGGAAACUGGGGCUAAUACCGGAUAGGAGCUCCUGCUGCAUGGUGGGGGUUGGAAAGUUUCGGCGGUUGGGGAUGGACUCGCGGCUUAUCAGCUUGUUGGUGGGGUAGUGGCUUACCAAGGCUUUGACGGGUAGCCGGCCUGAGAGGGUGACCGGCCACAUUGGGACUGAGAUACGGCCCAGACUCCUACGGGAGGCAGCAGUGGGGAAUAUUGCACAAUGGGCGGAAGCCUGAUGCAGCAACGCCGCGUGCGGGAUGACGGCCUUCGGGUUGUAAACCGCCUUCGCCUGUGACGAAGCGUGAGUGACGGUAAUGGGGAAAGAAGCACCGGCUAACUACGU
rnacentral:rRNA from 1 species